GAUGAACGCUGGCGGCGUGCUUAACACAUGCAAGUCGAACGGAAAGGCCCUGCUUUUGGGGGGUGCUCGAGUGGCGAACGGGUGUGUAACACGUGUGUAACCUGCCCUUGACUUUGGGAUAACUUCAGGAAACUGGGGCUAAUACCGGAUAGGAGCUCCUGCCGCAUGGGGGGGGGUGGAGAGUUUCGGCGGUUGGGGAUGGACUCGCGGCAUAUCAGCUUGUUGGUGGGGUAGUGGCUUACCAAGGCGGUGACGGGUAGCCGGCCUGAGAGGGUGACCGGCCACACUGGGACUGAGAUACGGCCCAGACUCCUACGGGAGGCAGCAGUGGGGAAUAUUGCACAAUGGGCGGAAGCCUGAUGCAGCAACGCCGCGUGAGGGAUGACGGCCUUCGGGUUGUAAACCGCUUUCGCUAGGGAAGAAGCGAGAGUGACGGUAAUUGGUAAAGAAGCACCGGCUAACUACGUG
rnacentral:rRNA from 1 species